CCUACGGGUGGCAGCAGUGGGGAAUAUUGCGCAAUGGGCGAAAGCCUGACGCAGCGACGCCGCGUGAGGGAUGAAGGUCUUCGGAUCGUAAAGCUCUGUCAGCAGGGAAGAACGGUCACUGUGCUAAUCAGCAGUGAAUUGACGGUACCGGCAAAGGAAGCACCGGCUAACUCCGUGCCAGCAGCCGCGGUAAGACGGAGGGUGCGAGCGUUAAUCGGAAUUACUGGGCGUAAAGCGCUCGUAGGCGGUAUGUCAAGUCAAGGGUGAACUCCCCGCGCUCAACGUGGGAACUGCCUGUGAAACUGGCAAACUGGAGUGUGUGAGAGGAUAGUGGAAUUCCAGGUGUAGGAGUGAAAUCCGUAGAUAUCUGGAGGAACAUCAGUGGCGAAGGCGACUAUCUGGCACAUAACUGACGCUGAGGAGCGAAAGCGUGGGUAGCAAACAGGAUUAGAUACCCCGGUAGUC
rnacentral:rRNA from 1 species